rnacentral:rRNA from 1 species
UACGUAGGGUGCAAGCGUUGUCCGGAAUUAUUGGGCGUAAAGAGCUCGUAAGCGGUUUGUCGCGUCUGCUGUGAAAACUCGGGGCUUAACUCCGGGCCUGCAGUGGGUACGGGCAGACUAGAGUGCGGUAGGGGAGACUGGAAUUCCUGGUGUAGCGGUGAAAUGCGCAGAUAUCAGGAGGAAUACCGGUGGCGAAGGCGGCAUCCUGGACCGAGAUUGACGCUGAGGAGCGAAAGCUAGGGGAGCAAACGGG